ACACAGCAAACCAUCAUCGGUCUGACACGGUACAGCGAUUUGGAUGGAGUCUUCACCAUAUUUUCUAUUAUUGUGUCAAAAGUCUUGGGGCCAGCAGACGGAACCCCUCUGAUAAUUGGGCACAGCUGUGCACAGGAUAGCCUCUGAGACCGGCAAUUGAGACAUUUCUGUUAGGCACGUGGAACUAAUUUAGCCGCAACAAUCGUUUCUGCCAGGAAGUCACAGAGGGGACGCGCACCAUAGCAUUGCUGCCCUCUUUGACAGCUGGGCAGAGAGCUUUAAAGAGUAGAGGACUUCUAAUUUUAAAAGUGGAGUCGGCAUGGAGUGAGGCUAGCUUUUAUUGACCGCGCCGGGCUGCCUGCUCUACUGAAUGCUUAUUUCUGUCCGCGAUGCUCCCAUUAAACGCGAUCAGGGAGAUCGCGAAGGCCACCACGGAAAACACGGUGGGAACAUGGGAGAUCAUCCAUCCAGCAACAGGUUCCAUCUCAGUGGAGGCGGUGCGAAAUACCGCACCAACUGUGACUGAUUUACGGAGUCACAUCAAGGUCCUGCCAAGUGGAAUAACAGCAGAAUCCCACUCUCAACAUCAUGAAGGUUGACGCCCCAUCCUGGGUUGUUCCCUGCCUUGCACCCGUAGCCUCCGGGAUAGGCUCUGCACUCCCCGCUACCCUGAAUAAGAGAAGUGGUCGCAGGCACUGGAUGGAUGGAUGGAUGGAUGGAAUUCUGGCAUUUUCUCAUAAUACCUUUUCUCAUUUGAGUACAUUGAUGCAGAAUGCUGAAGAUUUACUGCACAUAUACAAGAAACUAUGCACGUGUGAAAAUAAGUUUUAGCUAAGUUCAAAUGGAAUUAUUUUGCAUAUAUAAAUUCUAGUUAAAUAAAUGUUUUCUACGCUUUAUUGUCUUUGCUUGGUACUUUCCAUCAUACAGGCUAAGGACAUUCAGUUAAGGUGAACUGGAGACAUACAAAUCGUCAUGCACUGUGCAUUUGUCAUGCGAUUGUCUUGGAAUGUGGUUUUCUGAGUGCGUGUCAGCGGCCCACAAAGAUGCAGUGUUCUGUCCAUGGUAUAUCCCAGCAGAUGCCAGCUCUGGCUUAUUGUAGCCAUGACAUGAAUAAGCACUUAACGAGAA